AGGAGGUGAGUCACCUGUGGCACAAAAAAAAAAAAAAAACGCGCCACCGAGAAGCGUUCCUGGGUCCCCCACGGACGAAAGUUCCUUCCCAUCAGCCCCUGUGCUGGACCGCGGGGACCCUGGCGUCCCUGCUUAGAACCCACGCAGCGUCUCGGGCCGGCUAGGGGUACACCAAAGCGGACAAAAGCCACUGAGGGGAAGGACCUCGGCAAAACCUGAGUCCUGUCCUCUCGCUUUCCUCCCCGUACACAGCGAGCUUCACCACUUGCUCCGCACCUUCUCCAUCAACUACUACCUGUCCCUGGGAUCUGUCCAGUCGCCCAGCUAAAGUGCUCAGCAGGUCAGCAGCGCGGCGAGCUUCUAUGAGGCGUGGGGUCUGGGGCUCCUGGAUCUCUGUGUCCCAUUUCACAGAGAUUGCCACCUACUGCCGCCUGCUAGAAGAUGGGGAGGACUUCAAUCUUGGUGGUAUUCUGGACAGCAGCAAAUACCUGUAAAGCAUCCAAAAGACCAACACCCACAGGAUAGUGGACGGCAAAGUGGUGUCUGAGACCAACAUCACAGACGUCUUGAGGUGCUAAACCAGCAGAAGCAAGGUCCCUUUGCGGAGCAGGAGGGCAAUAAAAACUUCUGUGGUCAAAAAAAAAAAAAAAAAAAAUUACCCUCGCAUCACAGAGGUGUUUUCCUCACGCAAACGUAAUAUAGAUUCAUUAAUACAUAGAUGUGGAAAUUAGGGCAAUUUCCACAACUACUCACCCAGAGAGGAUUAAAAAAAUAAUUGACCACCAACUAAUUAAAUAAAUACAGAAGUCAUAAAUAAAGCAUGAGUAAUGUUUAUACAGUCAAACGAACAGAGAAUUAUGUUUGCAAUACACAUAUGGUUGAUUCAUAUUUGACUUUUUUUCUACACUCUUUUAAAGUGUACACAGUUAAAUAUAGUCAUAAAAAAUUAUAACAUAUAAGCAGAAACUAAAAACACAAUUAAAUGAUGUAAGACAGCCUAUCCUAACAGGAAAAUACAGGAAUAUAAAAUAUUACAAAACAAAAUUGGAUAAACAUUAACCUGUGAAAUACUGAAUAAACAAAUCAUGCAACUGAAGAAGACUCUUUCUAGAUAACUGAAAUAUUCAACCAUAACUGGACACCCAUAAAGAACAGAUUUUGAAUUAUUAGCAUAUGGUUAGAGUAACAAAAUUUCACAACAAAUGCAUUAUAAUCUUCUAUAAAGAACAUUUAGAAGAAAAUUUUAAUGAAGAUUUCAAUGAUAUUAGAGAACAGAGUCUCGCUCUGUUACCCAGGCUGGAGUGUAGUGGCGAGACCUCGGCUCACUGCAUCCUCCACCUACCAGGCUGAAGCAAUUCUCUGCCCCAGCCUCCCGAGUAGCUGGGAUUAUAGGCACCCGCCCCCAUGCCCUGCUCAUUCUUUCUGUGGUUUUUGUGGAGACGGGGUUUCACCAUGUUGGCCAGGCUGGUCUUGAACCCCUGACAUUGUGAUCCACCCACCUCAGCCUCUUAAAGUACUGGGAUUACAAGCGUGAGCCACCGCACUGGCCUAUAAUUUGUUUUUUUUUUUAAGUAAAGAAAAGCUUUACAUUUUUAAAUAUGGGAACAACAUGAAUACUGAAAAAUAUGCAAUGAAACACUACUACAUAAUAAGCAAUGAGAAAUAAAUUAUACUAUCAUUCAGAUAAUGUUGAGGAAAGUUAAUAGAAACACUAAUGAUAAGUUUUUCUAUGCAGUAAACUUAGACACACAAACUGAAAUUUUAUUAAUGUGAGGUGCAUACUAAGUAAUUCACUUUUUAUAUAACACAUAAAUUCAAGUAUGCUAUUCUGAAAUCCCUGAAGCUAAAAUUAUAGGCUAAUUUGGGAUACAUAAAAAUCAAAAAGUGAAAACGUGCAGAUCACAGUCCCACUAAGCUUUAUAUAAGAUUAAAUAAUAAAAUAACUCAAUAAGAAAUCAUGUAACAAUUAAGAAUUUAUUCUAUUCUUGGCAGGUUUCUAAGUUUUUCUAUGGCAUUAAGGUCUUUAAAAAUUCUUUGAGGUGAGUAGAUACAAUAAACUAUUCCACAGGUGAGGUGCUUGGCAUAGAGAGUUCACGUUUUUAAGUUAAUUUCUACCAAGGAAAAGAAAACUUUUUGACCUACAUUACCAGAGAUGAAAAAAAGAAUAAAGUGAAAUAGAAGCUUCACUAUAUCAUAUGUGCUGAGGUGUUUUGGGCUCUGAUAAAAGUUUUUCCGAUUUUUUUGCAGGAUCACAUUUGAAAUCAUAGGACUGAAAAUUAUGAAGCAGAAACAUUUGUCCUUGGUGUUUCUGAAAUAUGUGAACCAAACCCCAAUGCCUGCACUUUUACUCUCACAAACUUCUGACAUGAGGAACAGAUUUUUACAAAAUAGCUUAAUAUAGAAGUCUCGCAAAAUGUGCAGAUUUCCCCAGAUCCCCCAAAACAAUGGAAAAGCACUCAGACCACAAGGCCUUCAAGGGAAUAACAGAAAGAAGAGGAGAACUUCGGCUGUCACUGUGAAUGCCCUGGAAUGUUAGUGGAGGGACAGGAGGAGCCUUAGAAGAUUUAGGAGCAUAAUAAGCAUAGGGUAGGAAAUGUCCAUCUGUGGCAGCAAAAGAAGUAAAUCUAGGAUCUUCCAGAACCAAUUUCAUUGAAGCGAACUUCCCACAUCACAUUUUUAAAGUUUCCUCCUUGGCCUUUGCACCUCUCAUCUUUGUUAUUUGUUCAUUAUUGCCUAUUGGGGUGAUGCCUAUUAUUUUCUCUCUUUUUACAUUCCAAAGAUAUUUCCUUUACUGUAGAACAGGGGCAUCCAAGGGAGAAUCUCACCACGACCCCAGGUCUAGAGCGCCCGGAGUCCGCCAUCCCUGGGAAUGGAGGCGGCUUCGGCCUGGGGUCGUGGUGAGAUUCGUUGGUGGCUGCGCGAUUGUGGCGGAGUUGCAAGCAAACGGGUUUCAUCACCUUAAAUGGUUUUGAACCAAAGAAGCUGUAUUCCCUUAAAAAGACGGACAACCCAUCGUGUGAACUAUAGAGUUUGUGAACAAAUUUAUAUUGGGUUCAUAGUGGCGUCAUGCACGCAGACUCCUGCGAGUUCCCCUAAGUUCUUAGAGGACUGCUUUGCCUUUUGAUCUGAGAGUUGCAAAUUUCCCUAAAGAAUGGCCCUUGUGGAUAAGCGCUAAGUCAAGAGACAGUGAUUGGACAGAAUUUGUGAGGAAUUCGCCCCCAGAUCAUGAAAGUCACCCUGAACCCCGCCUCGUGGUGGCUCUGCUGGAUGGACGGGACUGCACUGUGGACAUGCCCAUCCUGAAGGACCUGGCCACCUGGCCUUCUGUGAGGCUCAGUCCAUGCAGGAGAUCCACGAGAAAGUUCUAAACGAAGUCGUGGGCGCCAUGAUGUACCACACCUUCUCCCUCACCAGGGAAGACCUGGAAAAUUUCAAGGCCCUGAGAGUGAUCGUGCAGGUGGGCAGUGGCUACGACAACGUGGCCAUCAAGGCUGCUGGCGAGCUCGAAAUUGCUGUGUGCAGCAUCCCGUCCGCAGCCGUGGAAGAGACAGCCGACUCCACCACCGGCCACAUCCUCAAUCUGUACUGGGGGAACAGGUCGCUGUACCAGGCACUGAGGGAAGGCACGCGAGUUCAGAGCGUGGAGCAGAUUGGCGAGGUGGCCUCAGUAAAGGCUCGCAUUCGUGGGGAGAUAUUGGGCCUCAUCGGCUUCGGUCGCACGCAGCAGGAGGUUGCAGUUCGAGCCAAGGCCUUUGCAGGAUGGGAUCGAGCGGUCCCUGGGUGUGCAUAGGGUCUACACCCAGCAGGAUUUGCUGUAUCAGAACGACUGCGUCUUCUUGCAUUGCAAUCUCAACGAACAAAACUACCACCUUAUCCAUGACUUUACUAUAAAGCAGAUGAGGCAGGGAGCAUUCCUUGUGAACGCAGCCCGUGGUGGCCUGGUGGACGAGAAAGCCUGAGCACACAUCCUCAAGGAGGGCAGAAUACGAGGGGCAGCCCUCGACGUGAAUGAGUCGGAGCCCUUUAGUUUUGCUCGGGGUCUGUUGAAAGAUGCCUGGAAUCUCAUCUGCACUCCUCUCACUGCCUGCUACAGCCAGCAGGUGUCACUGGAGAUGAGCGAGGCAGUUGCCACUGAGAUCCGCCAAGCCAUCAUAAGUCGCAUCCCGGGAAGCUUAAGAAACUGUGUGAACAAGGAAUUCUUUGUCACAUCAGCGCUUUGGUCCGUAAUAAACCAGCAAGAAAUUCAUCCUGAGCUCAGUGGUGCUACCUACAGAUAUCUGCCAGGCAUGGUGGGCGUGGCUCCAGGAGGACUUCUGCAGCCAGGGAAGACAUCAUCCCUGGAGACAUCCCAGUGACUGACAACCUCCCAACAGUGGUACAUCCUUCCCAAGGGCCCUCUCCCAACAGCCCACAAAACACGGGGACAGUCGAGAGCAUCCCAACGAGCAAUAGCAGAGAAUGCCGGAAGGUAAUUAUUCAGAUAUACUUGGGAACAGUGAAAAAUAGAUAAUCUAAGAGAAAAAGAAUCUGACGGCCUUUUUAGCUGAUUCCGGACAUAUGCAUCAUUGUUGUUGCAGUGUUAAAACAAGAGCUAGAAAACUGACAAUGUCGUCUGCUUACGGAAGCUCUGAAAGACUAGGGUGUGAUUUAUUAACGCCCAACUUCUAUUAUUGUGUGUUAAGUUUUUCAUCUGUGCAUCAAAUCACAAAGAAUAAAUAGAACUUUUCCCUUUAUCAGUCCCUUAGGCACAGCAGGUCCUGAACACCCUGCUUAUAUGUUGCAUCAGCAGUUCAAAUAUGAAAAUAAAAACCAUGAAGAGGAAAUCCGCAUCCUGUGACUGGAGUCCCUUCAGUCUACAGGGACUGGUUACCGCUUUUUGCUAAUAGGAAGAUUACAUUACUAGAAAAUGUGGAGUAAACUGUUUGCCUGUGGUAAACACCUGCAUGCAAAGGAUUGAAGACAGUACCGGCUCCUGUACAGAGACGCGUCUCUCACAUCUGAGCUGCAUAUUGAGCGGCAAGUUGGUUGUAAGUUCAGUAAAAGCCGCUGAUGAUGCAAAAAAAAAAAAA